UGAGAGCAUUGGUAAGCCUGCG
rnacentral:piRNA from 1 species